rnacentral:rRNA from 1 species
AGUGAACGCUGGCGGUAGGCCUAACACAUGCAAGUCGAACGGCAGCACAGUAAGAGCUUGCUCUUACGGGUGGCGAGUGGCGGACGGGUGAGGAAUACAUCGGAAUCUACUUUUUCGUGGGGGAUAACGUAGGGAAACUUACGCUAAUACCGCAUACGACCUACGGGUGAAAGCAGGGGAUCUUCGGACCUUGCGCGAUUGAAUGAGCCGAUGUCGGAUUAGCUAGUUGGCGGGGUAAAGGCCCACCAAGGCGACGAUCCGUAGCUGGUCUGAGAGGAUGAUCAGCCACACUGGAACUGAGACACGGUCCAGACUCCUACGGGAGGCAGCAGUGGGGAAUAUUGGACAAUGGGCGCAAGCCUGAUCCAGCCAUACCGCGUGGGUGAAGAAGGUCUUCGGGUUGUAAAGCCCUUUUGUUGGGAAAGAAAAGCAGCAGGUUAAUACCCCGCUGUUCUGACGUUACCCAAAGAAUAAGCACCGGCUAACUUCGUG